rnacentral:rRNA from 1 species
AAUCAACGCUGGCGGCGUGCCUCAGACAUGCAAGUCGAACGCGAAAUUUCCCUUCGGGGAGAAAGUAGAGUGGCGCACGGGUGAGUAACACGUGGGUAAUUUACCUUCGGGUGGGGAAUAACAGUCGGAAACGACUGCUAAUACCGCAUGAUGCAGCGGCACCACAUGGUGACAGUUGUUAAAGCGGGGGAUCGCAAGACCUCGCGCCUGAAGAGAAGCCCGCGGCAGAUUAGCUAGUUGGUAAGGUAAUGGCUUACCAAGGCAACGAUCUGUAGCCGGCCUGAGAGGGCGGUCGGGCCACACUGACACUGAAUAACGGGUCAGACUCCUACGGAGGCAGCAGUCGGGAAUUUUGGGCAACGGGCGAAAGACCUGACCCAGCAACGCCGCGUGAAGGAUGAAAUCCCUUGGGAUGUAAACUCCUUU